GUUUCUUCUACUUUCAUUUUGUUUCUUCCAAAUUAAUCUCUUUCUUCACUGUUCUUUUUUGUUGUUGUUUCUGUUCAUAGUUGUUAGAUCUUAUGUCUUUUCAAGUCCGAAUCUUAAAAACUUGAUAGUAUAUCUCUUUUCAUUUGAUUAAACCCAUCCACACAAAUUCCAGCUCUCGAGACUAUACAUUAUUGUUCGAUCUUCUCCGUAGCUUUGUGACAACAGAAUCUAGCUAGGGUUUCGUUUUUUUUUUUUUAAUUUUCUUUUAUUCUUUGUUUUUAAGUCUUUGGUUCAUAAUUUUUCUGCUACAAAACAACAACUGUACAUCACCAUCAUUAAGAGAAACCCAUCUGCCUCUUUCUCAAUCUCAUAAAUAUUCUCACCGUUCGCUUCUCUCUCAUCUAAAUGUUCUCUCUCUCUCUCUCUCUCUUUUUUUCCUCCUCAAGAAAAAAACCCUUUUCCAUUUUACAUUUGACAGAAAGGAAAUGAGUGAUUUUUUUUGGAUCUUUAACCUUUUUGGUCAUGCAGGUUUUGACAAAAGAGUCUCUUACAGAGAUCUUUGGCAUUCUGUCCACCUCCUCUCUUUAUCCUGUAUAUGUGUGUAGUAAGGGUAUACGUAAUUUCGUUGUGUUUUGUGAAGGGGAGGUGGGCAUACUGCCAAUAGAGAUCUGUUAGGGUUUCUUUGUAAAACCCCUCAUGAUGUAUUCAAGAUCACCCGAUGAAUAUUAAGGUUUGAAGAAUAGUAGGUUUAGGAAUAGUGGUGGCGUUUGAGACGUUUACAUCAUCUAGGAAAGGUAAACUAUUCAUAAAGUAAGAGGACCCAUGACUCCCAAUAAAGGUACAGGUAGAUUGAAAUCACAGGAGAAUAUGGUAAUGAAAAGGAGAAUUUACUCUUCCUUUUUAUGUUCUUGAAGUGAAGCCCACACAAUGUUAUGAUGAUGUCUUCUUUUCCUUAAGUUGGAAUCUAUAUCUAUAGUAUGUGGUUAUUUUGUUUAUAAGUACAAAUUGCAUGUUUCUAUCUUCUGAUGUUAUAUAUACAUGUGUUCAGUCUGACAAUAUGGUAUACGAAAAAUCAAGUUCAACCUUCAAGUUGGAAUGUAAAUGCAUUUAUA